rnacentral:rRNA from 1 species
UACGGGGGGGGCAAGCGUUGUUCGGAAUUACUGGGCGUAAAGGGCUCGUAGGCGGCCAACUAAGUCAGACGUGAAAUCCCUCGGCUUAACCGGGGAACUGCGUCUGAUACUGGAUGGCUUGAGGUUGGGAGAGGGAUGCGGAAUUCCAGGUGUAGCGGUGAAAUGCGUAGAUAUCUGGAGGAACACCGGUGGCGAAGGCGGCAUCCUGGUCCUUGACUGACGCUGAGGCGCGAAAGCGUGGGGAGCAAACAGG